AAACCAACAGGGAUUGCCUUAGUAGCGGCGAGUGAAGCGGCAAAAGCUCAAAUUUGAAAUCUGGCACUUUCAGUGUCCGAGUUGUAAUUUGAAGAAGGUAUCUUUGGGUCUGGCUCUUGUCUAUGUUUCUUGGAACAGAACGUCACAGAGGGUGAGAAUCCCGUGCGAUGAGAUGUCCCAGACCUAUGUAAAGUUCCUUCGAAGAGUCGAGUUGUUUGGGAAUGCAGCUCUAAGUGGGUGGUAAAUUCCAUCUAAAGCUAAAUAUUGGCGAGAGACCGAUAGCGAACAAGUACAGUGAUGGAAAGAUGAAAAGAACUUUGAAAAGAGAGUGAAAAAGUACGUGAAAUUGUUGAAAGGGAAGGGCUUGAGAUCAGACUUGGUAUUUUGUAUGUUACUCUCUCGGGGGUGGCCUCUACAGUUUACCGGGCCAGCAUCAGUUUGAGCGGUAGGAUAAGUGCAAAGAAAUGUGGCACUGCUUCGGUAGUGUGUUAUAGUCUUUGUCGAUCUGCCAGCUUAACUGAGGACUGCGGCUUCGCCUAGGAGUUGGCAUAAUGAUCUUAAU
rnacentral:rRNA from 1 species